CAGGAGGAUGACCUGCUGCUUUUACAGCUCUUCGUAGGUCCUCUACCACACCGGGGCAGACACAGCCAUUCAACAAGGGGCUGUGGAGCUCCUGCUGGGCACCAGGCACCGUGCACCGCACUCAGGAUGGAAGAAGAGACAGCAGAGCUAGAACUAGAAGCUAUAGGAGAAAUGCCCUGAAUCAGACAAGGAGCAGACAAAGGGAGCGGACAGGAUGCUGAGGCUGAACACAUCAGACUCUUCCAAAGCCGGACGGAGAUGCCGAGGAUGGAGGGGGACGGCGGGACCCCAGCCCGGGCCUCCGUCUCUGCCAAUGCCAGGAGCCCUUGACUGACAGCAGACCCUGGAUCUUUUCUAGACCCUUGGAGCUAUAGAACAGCGAGAGAGCCAUGAACCUGAGACAUUAUCUCUUGAUUCCCCAUUAAUAAAGUUCCCAUUUUGCCUCAUGAUGCCCUACCUAUCCGGUUGCCCAAGCUGAGAGGCAGGACACAUCACGCAGAGUUUGAGCUGCUUUAACAAACACCACGGCCAGAGGGGCUUGAACAACAGAGAUUUAUUUUUCACCGUUUUGGAGGCUGGAAGUCUGAGAUCGGGGUGCUGGCAUGGACAGGUGGCCCAAACACAUACAGACUACCCUGUGAUAGUACCUUCCUGAUAGUGGAAUAGUGGAGGAGGAUGCAGUGGCCACAUCUGUGGCUACAUCCUGUGGGCUUGAGCCUUCCUUUCUGGUGCACCACCAGCUCCAGUCCUCCGGGGUCCGUCCAGACUCUCCAGCUGAUAAUCAUGAGACGAAGCCACUCUAGUGCUUGGGACGGUCAUCCCUGUGAUGUGAUGAAGGCUGUGUCCCUGGUGUUCUCUACCUUCACAGGAGUCAUCCUACCAGCCCCAAAGCUCCUGAGUCCAGAAGAGCCCUUCGGGGUCCUCCCCAUGUUUCAGCAGCACAUGCCCAGACAUGUCCAUCCGAACUGCAGCCUUUGCUUGGGCUCCAGCUGGGCCUCCUGCUUCUUGAAAGGCAUCAUGAAGCUCUUGAUUGGGAAAAGAUAUGGCUUCUGCAAAGUCAAUCCCUGAGCAGGGAGACUUCUUGACACCAUUGCUAAAUGCCAAAAUAUGGCCUUGUUUGGAGAUGUUCUUAAAAACCUCCCCUUUGGAUUUAGAGUUUGUUGAUGAAAGGAUAUACAAUGCUUAUGUCAAAUGGGAGGACAAGGGUGUUGCAGAGACCGGAAGAAGGAGUCAUGAACUGUGAUGUUCCUCAAAGACGCCUUCCAGAUAAAGCGAGUGUGUUGGAGUGAGGGGCAUCGUACUUUGCUUUUCCACAAGGCCGAAGUCUCAGGAUGCAGAGGGCAAGGUUGGGAUCUUCAGACCGCUCAUUCAGUCCUCCUCCCUCUUGGACUCUAUGCCAUUGCCAGGCCCUGGGGCCCCUCUGGCCUCCUUUGUCCUUCCUUCCAGCUGGGUCCUGCCCAUCACCACCUGUUGACAUCUGAGUCAAUUACUAAUGUCAACAGCAGGGGAACACAUAGCUGAUGUAAAUUCAGUUUUCUGAAGAUUCUGUGAGUCUUAACUCAAAGGAAUGAAUAGGAUUUUAGGUACCAGAAUAGACUUGUUGGGUUGGGAGGCUGAUGAGCAUUGGUGAGUCGUGGAAGCAUGACAUUUUUUUUUUUUUUUUUAAUCAGGCAGUAAGAAGCAUAACCCUCUUCCAAAAUUCUUAUUAUAUAUAAGGGUGGCAUAUGUUUAUCUAGAAUAGCUCCUGAUGAAUCUGCUUUUUUAAAAAGCUUUAGACAAAAACAGUCUUCUGUAGGUUGUGGCAACUGUGGGGAUGCUAAUUUUAUGGUGAGCCAUAAAUUGAUUGACAGGAAGCAAAACAAUAAUGGGGUAGAAGACAAUUGGCUCAGAGACAGAAGCAGGCAACUCACAGGAGAUGAUUUGGUUGGCAGAGGAGGCCGAGGACACUUGAAUCAUGACCCCAUAAGCCAAGCAUGGCAAGGAAUUCUGGCCAGAGGUCCCAUGGCUCAGUCAAGAGCUCAAGUUGGGGCCUGGAAGAGCAGAAGGCCCUGGCAGUUGACUUGGCUGCACUCUCCAGGGAAGAACUUUGUUGCCUCAUUGAAGAGAUGUCCGGGGCUGAGGGAUGGGGAAGGAGGUACUCACCGAGCUGAGACAGCAACACCUCUAGCUCAGCCACAGAGAACCACAGUGCCCUGACUUCCAAAGAGCUCCAAAAAGAAACCCACCUGGUCUAGGAGAUGGGCUUCUAGAAGAGCCUGGUUUGGGUUUUCCAAUUUCAUCUGUUUUCCUGUAGUUUGCCUGCUUCUGAAAAACAUAGUAAUGAAACUCGACGCCCAGACUCUAGCGGUCGCACCGUUGGGGGUGGGGUCCUUUGGCUCUGCUGUUUCCAGAUGUGGCCUGAUGUGUGCUCAUGGUACUCACCCUGGAGUGUCUGCUGACUGAAUGGAAGCACUUGUGGGUGGACUGAAUGCAGCAGAGCACUGCGGUCUGGGAGAGGAGAAGCUCGUAUUCCCUUGCUGGUGGUGCUGGAGGGACUGGCCUCUGGACUGGGAAAUUCUCUGCUCCAGGAGACUUUCUUCCCCUGUAGAUUCAGUGCGCUCUUAUGAAAAACUGGUGAGAGACAAGACAUGUCAGUUUUGGGGCCAGACAUCUGCCUCUGGGGCUGCUACCCCAAACCACAACAAUAGCAACAGAAGAAGGAUGAUAUGGGCACAUUUUCUUGGGGUUUUUCAUGAAUGGUUUUGGUUGGGCAUGUGAUGGCACAUUCCAAGUGUGAUUUUGAAUAAACUUGAAUUUUCACUUGA